AUUGAACGCUGGCGGCAGGCCUAACACAUGCAAGUCGAACGGUAGCACAGAGAGCUUGCUCUCGGGUGACGAGUGGCGGACGGGUGAGUAAUGUCUGGGAAACUGCCUGAUGGAGGGGGAUAACUACUGGAAACGGUAGCUAAUACCGCAUAACGUCGCAAGACCAAAGAGGGGGACCUUCGGGCCUCUUGCCAUCGGAUGUGCCCAGAUGGGAUUAGCUAGUAGGUGGGGUAAUGGCUCACCUAGGCGACGAUCCCUAGCUGGUCUGAGAGGAUGACCAGCCACACUGGAACUGAGACACGGUCCAGACUCCUACGGGAGGCAGCAGUGGGGAAUAUUGCACAAUGGGCGCAAGCCUGAUGCAGCCAUGCCGCGUGUAUGAAGAAGGCCUUCGGGUUGUAAAGUACUUUCAGCGAGGAGGUAGGUGUUGAGGUUAAUAACCUCAGCAAUUGACGUUACUCGCAGAAGAAGCACCGGCUAACUCCGUGCCAGCAGCCGCCGUAAGAC
rnacentral:rRNA from 1 species